UUGUAACACCGAUGAUGACCCCGCGAGGGCUGUCGCUGACCCCCCUUUCGUAAUAAUGUAAUGAGGGGUCGUGCACGCCCUUUCGGCGGUCGUCAUCACCAAUCCAUCUCACCCCUUGUGCAUCACCGCGUGGGUUCCUUUCAUCCCGUGAAAGGGGCUCGCGUCUUCACACAAAAACACCUUUCUAAAUACAGUUUAGAAUGUCUCAUUGCAUUUUUGUACGCAAUCAAUA
rnacentral:misc_RNA from 1 species